GACGAACGCUGGCGGCGUGCUUAACACAUGCAAGUCGAACGGUGAAGGGACUGGUUUUGCUGGUCCUGGAUGAGUGGCGAACGGGUGAGUACCACGUGAGUAACCUGCCCCCUUCUUCUGGAUAACCGCAUGAAAGUGUGGCUAAUACGGGAUAUUCUGGGUCUGUCGCAUGGUGGGCCUGGGAAAGAUUGCGCCUUUUUUGGUGUUUUUGGUGGGGGAUGGGCUCGCGGCCUAUCAGCUUGUUGGUGGGGUGAUGGCCUACCAAGGCGGUGACGGGUAGCCGGCCUGAGAGGGUGGACCGUCACACUGGGACUGAGACACGGCCCAGACUUCUACGGGAGGCAGCAGUGGGGAAUAUUGCACAAUGGGCGCAAGCCUGAUGCAGCGACGCCGCGUGAGGGAUGGAGGCCUUCGGGGUGUGAACCUCUUUCGCCAGUGAAGCAGGCCUGCCUCUUUUUGUGGGUGGGUUGACGGUAGCUGGAUAAGAAGCGCCGGCUAACUACGUG
rnacentral:rRNA from 1 species